rnacentral:rRNA from 1 species
UAUUGCGCAAUGGAGGGAACUCUGACGCAGCGACGCCGCGUGAGCGAUAAAGGUCNUCNNAUCGUNANGCUCUGUCCUUGGGGNNNNNGGUCUUCGGACUUGACGGUACCUAAGGAGGAAGCCCCGGCUAACUACGUGCCAGCAGCCGCGGUAAUACGUAGGGGGCAAGCGUUGUCCGGAAUUAUUGGGCGUAAAGGGUGCGUAGGCGGCCUUUUAAGUCAGAUGUGAAAGCCCACGGCUUAACCGUGGGACUGCAUUUGAAACUGGAGGGCUUGAGUAUCGGAGAGGGUAGUGGAAUUCCCAGUGUAGCGGUGGAAUGCGUAGAUAUUGGGAGGAACACCAGUGGCGAAGGCGACUACCUGGACGAAAACUGACGCUGAGGUGCGAAAGCGUGGGGAGCAAACA